rnacentral:misc_RNA from 1 species
AAGUCGUAACAAGGUCUCCGUAGGUGAACCUGCGGAGGGAUCAUCUAUAAAAAAAAUAUGAUGAUGAUGAUGAUGAUGAUGAUGAUGUUUAUUCAUCAUCAUCAUCAUUAUUCAUAUAUUAUCCAUUAUAGGAUGUUUUGGUGUUGUUAUUAUAUAAUAUUCUUAUAAUGUUGCAGGAUGGAAUUGUGUGUAUGUGUGUGUGUGUCGGUGUUUGUGUGUGUGUUGUAUGUGUGUUUGUGUUUUAAGGAGUAUUGUUACUCUUUUUAACCUUCCCCACAUACACUCUACUCUUAUUACUACCCAUCACUACACCAAUAAAAAACCAACCAGGAUCAUAAAUUCCAAACAAAGUUUAUAACUUUUGGCAACGGAUCUCUUGGUUCUC